rnacentral:rRNA from 1 species
UACGUAGGGGGCAAGCGUUGUCCGGAUUUAUUGGGCGUAAAGCGCGCGUAGGCGGCCCGGUAAGUCCGUUGUGAAAGUCAAAGGCUCAACCUUUGAACGCCGAUGGAUACUGCCGGGCUAGAGUCCGGAAGAGGCGAGCGGAAUUCCUGGUGUAGCGGUGGAAUGCGCAGAUAUCAGGAGGAACACCAAUAGCGAAGGCAGCUCGCUGGGACGGUACUGACGCUGAGGCGCGAAAGCGUGGGGAGCGAACAGG